CACGUAGGGCGCGAGCGUUGUCCGGAAUUAUUGGGCGUAAAGAGCUCGUAGGCGGCCUGUUGCGUCCGCUGUGAAAGCCCGGGGCUUAACCCCGGGUCGGCAGUGGAUACGGGCAGGCUAGAGGUAGGUAGGGGAGAAUGGAAUUCCUGGUGUAGCGGUGGAAUGCGCAGAUAUCAGGAGGAACACCAACGGCGAAGGCAGCUCGCUGGGACGGUACUGACACUGAGGCGCGAAAGCGUGGGGAGCGAACAGG
rnacentral:rRNA from 1 species